rnacentral:misc_RNA from 1 species
GCUGAUUCAAAUUAUAAUAACUGAUU